rnacentral:rRNA from 1 species
UACGUAGGGUGCGAGCGUUAAUCGGAAUUACUGGGCGUAAAGGGUGCGCAGGCGGUUAUAUAAGACAGAUGUGAAAUCCCCGGGCUCAACCUGGAACUGCGUUUGUGACUGUAUGACUAGAGUACGGUAGAGAGGGGUGGAAUUCCUGGUGUAGCAGUGAAAUGCGUAGAUAUCAGGAGGAACAUCGAUGGCGAAGGCAGCCCCUGGACCUGUACUGACGCUCAUGCACGAAAGCGUGGGGAGCAAACAGG